rnacentral:rRNA from 1 species
AACGAACGCUGGCGGCAGGCCUAACACAUGCAAGUCGAACGCCGUAGCAAUACGGAGUGGCAGACGGGUGAGUAACGCGUGGGAACCUACCUUACGGUCGGGAAUAGCUCAGGGAAACUUGGGGUACUACCGGAUACGCCCUUACGGGGAAAGAUUUAUCGCCGUUAGAUGGGCCCGCGUAGGAUUAGCUAGUUGGUGAGGUAAUGGCUCACCAAGGCGACGAUCCUUAGCUGGUCUGAGAGGAUGAUCAGCCACACUGGGACUGAGACACGGCCCAGACUCCUACGGGAGGCAGCAGUGGGGAAUAUUGGACAAUGGGCGCAAGCCUGAUCCAGCCAUGCCGCGUGAGUGACGAAGGCCUUAGGGUUGUAAAGCUCUUUUGGCGGGGAAGAUAAUGACGGUACCCGCAGAAUAAGCUCCGGCUAACUUCGUGCCAGCAGCCGCAGUAAGAC